CCUGAUGUAUAGCAGGCCCAUAGCCUGUGUUUAGUUGCUGUGGGAACAAAUAGGGAGAGAGAAUGGCGGAGAAAGUUCUAGAAUGAGAGAGCCCCAGUUCUUGCCCCAGCUCUGAGACCACCUACAGGUUUGUCCUGGGAGGAUGUUAGUUUGCCCCUUUGGAGAAAGGUCCUUAGCUUCUACAAGGAGAGGUUAAGUGCCUGGGCUAUGGGAUGGCAGCCUGCCUUCCAGUCCCCAUCUUUACUUUUUAUGUGACUUUGGACAGACCCAAGUGAAAUCUCAGUUUCCUAGUGUGUAAAAUGACUUACUUCGAGAGAUGGGGAAAAUAGAAUGAAACAGUCACAUCUAAUAUAUAGCCCUGUAUUCUCUAUUAAAUCACACUGUUGGCCUGACACAUCCAAUGUGUCAGAGUGAGAUAUUGUGAGGCUGCUGGUGUGGUUUGUGAUGGUGGGGUGGUGUAUGGGAUGCUGUCCCAGUGGUGUUUGGUAGAGAGCCAGACAUGAGGGACACAGGGGACAUGAGCACCUAAGCAGGAGAUGAGACUCUGCUGCCUGGCUCCACUGAGCUGGACAACACAGCCCCUGGCGCCCCUUCAAACCAGUGGGUCGCUGUCUCCACGUUGCCAAGUCGUGUCCAGAUGUGAUGAGCUGACUCAUUGAAAAAGACCUUGAUGCUGGGAAAGACUGAGGGCAAGAGGAGAAGGGUGCAACAGAGGAUGAGAUGGUUGGAUGGCAUCAUCAACUCAAUGGACGUGAGUUUCAGCAAGGUCAGGGAGGUAGUGAAGGACAAGGAAAACUGGUGUGUUGCAGUCCAUGGGGUCACGAAGAUAAAAACGAAUAUCUUCUAUAUAACUGGUGGAAAAAACAUAACUGUAUGUGGUGAUGGACUCAGACAGGAGAAACCACAGGCUUGGGUUGUGUGUUUGGCUAUCGUCUUUGUCAGUUUGGGCUGCUGCAGCAAAAAUAUCAUAGACAGUCUGGCUCAAACAAAACAUUUAUUUCUCAUGGUUUCAGAGGCUGAAAAGUCCAGGAUUAAGAUGCUAGCAGUUCUGAUGUCUAGUAAGGCCCCACUUUCUAGCUCAUAGACAGUUGCCUUCUUGCUCAUCCUCGCAUGAAUAUGGGAUAGAGAUAGAAGAGAGAGAUUAAAGCAAGUUCUGUCAAGUCUUUUCCUUUAAGGGCACCAAUCUUAUUACACGGGCUCCACCCUCAUGAUCUGAUUACCUCCCAGAGGCUCACUCUCCAAAAACCAUCACCUUGAGAAUUUAAGCUUCACAUAUGAAUUUGGGAGUGACACAAACAUACAUUUCAUGACAGCUACUUAGUGUGCAGAUUGUCUGAUCUUUAGCUCAGAGACAACAACUCAGAGGUGCCAAAAACACCUCUGACUUUCUAGAGAGAGUCACUAACAUGUCUCACGGUUAGGGAUGCAGCUGAGUAGUUUAUCACAAGGGGGCAAAACUGUGUAAAUAUUUUUUGAGCGUCUCAUAGUAUUUCAUAGUAUUUAUGGGGUAGACAUCACUUGGGAUGAUUUAGCCUUUCCUGGUCUGACAUGUUCCUCUGCUCCAUUUUUCUAAAUAACAAGAAAAAGAAGGAAAGCAAAAUAGAGGCUUAGUUGGUACAUGAAUUAUAAGGAGUCAAAGGACUGUCUGGAACUUCCUUCUUUCUCAGAAACGUGCACAGGAAUUGUGUACAAACACCCUCUACUUCUUAGUUUAUGGCUUUACUGGGCAACAGUGGCACAAAAAGAAAAGAAGAAGUCGCAGUGGGUUUAGGUUAGAGGACUUCACCUGAAGUGGAGGAGUGUCCUGGCUGGUCACCUAAGUGCUGGAUUUCUGGAAGCCACACUGUUUCUCAGCACCAUUUCUGCUUUGCUUUGGAGUACUUCCCUUUGCAUACUACUCCUAGGCUGUAUAUGAUUUCAGAUGAUUUUGGCUGCAAGACCCAGCUAUAAGAGGCUUUAU
ensembl:lncRNA